AACGCAAUCUAUAUCAAUAAACACAACCUGACCUGUAUGUGCAACUGCCCUACAUAAGCAGCACUUCCCCAGAGACUCUCUCCUCGCCUCCUAUCUCUGAACUAUCCUGCUAACGUUCUGGAGCCAUUUUAUAGGCCCGACUCCUCCUACUCCAGAACAUACCAUAUGAAAGCUAUGAGAAUGGACUCUCCGGAGACCUAUAAAUAGACCGGAUGUCUAACUGAACAGGUUUGGCAAAUGACU
ensembl:lncRNA